rnacentral:pre_miRNA from 1 species
UGGUGGUGAUGAUGCUCAUGGUCAUGAUCGUGGUGAUGAUGUUCAUGGUCAUGAUGAUGCUCAUGAUCGUGAUGAUGAUGUUCAUGAUCGUGACAA